GAUGAACGCUGGCGGCGUGCCUAAUACAUGCAAGUCGAGCGAACGGACGAGAAGCUUGCUUCUCUGAUGUUAGCGGCGGACGGGUGAGUAACACGUGGAUAACCUACCUAUAAGACUGGGAUAACUUCGGGAAACCGGAGCUAAUACCGGAUAAUAUUUUGAACCGCAUGGUUCAAAAGUGAAAGACGGUCUUGCUGUCACUUAUAGAUGGAUCCGCGCUGCAUUAGCUAGUUGGUAAGGUAACGGCUUACCAAGGCAACGAUGCAUAGCCGACCUGAGAGGGUGAUCGGCCACACUGGAACUGAGACACGGUCCAGACUCCUACGGGAGGCAGCAGUAGGGAAUCUUCCGCAAUGGGCGAAAGCCUGACGGAGCAACGCCGCGUGUAUGAAGAAGGCCUUCGGGUUGUAAAGUACUUUCAGCGGGGAGGAAGGGAGUAAAGUUAAUACCUUUGCUCAUUGACGUUACCCGCAGAAGAAGCACCGGCUAACUCCGUG
rnacentral:rRNA from 1 species